rnacentral:rRNA from 1 species
GAUGAACGCUGGCGGCGUGCCUAAAACAUGCAAGUCGUGCGGCAGCGGGCCUUCGGGUGCCGGCGAGCGGCGGACGGGUGAGUAACGCGUAGGAACGUACCCCAAAGUGAGGGAUAAGCUCCGGAAACGGAGUCUAAUACCGCAUAUGCUCUUAGGAGUAAAGGAGUAAUCCGCUUUGGGAGCGGCCUGCGUCCGAUUAGUUUGUUGGUGAGGUAAUGGCUUACCAAGACGAUGAUCGGUAGCUGGUUUGAGAGGAUGAUCAGCCACACUGGGACUGAGACACGGCACAGACUCCUACGGGAGGCAGCAGUUAGGAAUUGUCCACAAUUGGGGCAACCCUGAUGUAGCAACGCCGCGUGCAGGAAGACGGCCUUCGGGUUGUAAACUGCUUUUAAAAGUGAAGAUUAUGACGGUAACUUUAGAAUAAGGAUCGGCUAACUCCGUGCCAGCCGCCGCGGUAA